rnacentral:rRNA from 2 species
CAGGUGGUCAGGUAGAGAAUACCAAGGCGCUUGAGAGAACUCGGGUGAAGGAACUAGGCAAAAUGGUGCCGUAACUUCGGGAGAAGGCACGCUGACAUGUAGGUGAAGUGAUUUACUCAUGGAGCUGAAGUCAGUCGAAGAUACCAGCUGGCUGCAACUGUUUAUUAAAAACACAGCACUGUGCAAACACGAAAGUGGACGUAUACGGUGUGACGCCUGCCCGGUGCCGGAAGGUUAAUUGAUGGGGUCAGCGCAAGCGAAGCUCCUGAUCGAAGCCCCGGUAAACGGCGGCCGUAACUAUAACGGUCCUAAGGUAGCGAAAUUCCUUGUCGGGUAAGUUCCGACCUGCACGAAUGGCGUAAUGAUGGCCAGGCUGUCUCCACCCGAGACUCAGUGAAAUUGAACUCGCUGUGAAGAUGCAGUGUACCCGCGGCAAGACGGAAAGACCCCGUGAACCUUUACUAUAGCUUGACACUGAACAUUGAGCCUUGAUGUGUAGGAUAGGUGGGAGGCUUUGAAGUGUGGACGCCAGUCUGCAUGGAGCCGACCUUGAAAUACCACCCUUUAAUGUUUGAUGUUCUAACGUGGACCCGUGAUCCGGGUUGCGGACAGUGUCUGGUGGGUAGUUUGACUGGGGCGGUCUCCUCCUAAAGAGUAACGGAGGAGCACGAAGGUUGGCUAAUCCUGGUCGGACAUCAGGAGGUUAGUGCAAUGGCAUAAGCCAGCUUGACUGCGAGCGUGACGGCGCGAGCAGGUGCGAAAGCAGGUCAUAGUGAUCCGGUGGUUCUGAAUGGAAGGGCCAUCGCUCAACGGAUAAAAGGUACUCCGGGGAUAACAGGCUGAUACCGCCCAAGAGUUCAUAUCGACGGCGGUGUUUGGCACCUCGAUGUCGGCUCAUCACAUCCUGGGGCUGAAGUAGGUCCCAAGGGUAUGGCUGUUCGCCAUUUAAAGUGGUACGCGAGCUGGGUUUAGAACGUCGUGAGACAGUUCGGUCCCUAUCUGCCGUGGGCGCUGGAGAACUGAGGGGGGCUGCUCCUAGUACGAGAGGACCGGAGUGGACGCAUCACUGGUGUUCGGGUUGUCAUGCCAAUGGCACUGCCCGGUAGCUAAAUGCGGAAGAGAUAAGUGCUGAAAGCAUCUAAGCACGAAACUUGCCCCGAGAUGAGUUCUCCCUGAGACUUUAGGUCUCCUGAAGGAACGUUGAAGACGACGACGUUGAUAGGCCGGGUGUGUAAGCGCAGCGAUGCGUUGAGCUAACCGGUACUAAUGAACCGUGAGGCUUAACCUUACA